rnacentral:lncRNA from 1 species
GAGGGGCAAACCCACCACCGAAGUGAGAUUUGGGCAGUGCUCAAUCUCCAAAUCCUUCAGUUUAAGUAGGUUCUCAUGGAGGUGUAGGACUCUUUAAGUUCUUGGACAUGGAAAUAUUCAAGGACUGAAGAGUUUUGAGCUCUAAAGAGGAGGACCUGAGCUCGUUAUUCCAUUUGCCUCCCAAGUCCUAAACUUUUGAGUGAUGGA